rnacentral:rRNA from 1 species
UUGGUGGAAAGCUUUUGUGGUUUUGGAUGGACUCGCGGCCUAUCAGCUUGUUGGUGAGGUAAUGGCUUACCAAGGCGACGACGGGUAGCCGGCCUGAGAGGGUGACCGGCCACACUGGGACUGAGACACGGCCCAGACUCCUACGGGAGGCAGCAGUGGGGAAUAUUGCACAAUGGGCGCAAGCCUGAUGCAGCGACGCCGCGUGAGGGAUGACGGCCUUCGGGUUGUAAACCUCUUUCAGUAGGGAAGAAGCGAAAGUGACGGUACCUGCAGAAGAAGCGCCGGCUAACUACGUGCCAGCAGCCGCGGUAAUACGUAGGGCGCAAGCGUUAUCCGGAAUUAUUGGGCGUAAAGAGCUCGUAGGCGGUUUGUCGCGUCUGCCGUGAAAGUCCGGGGCUCAACUCCGGAUCUGCGGUGGGUACGGGCAGACUAGAGUGAUGUAGGGGAGACUGGAAUUCCUGGUGUAGCGGUGAAAUGCGCAGAUAUCAGGAGGAACACCGAUGGCGAAGGCAGGUCUCUGGGCAUUAACUGACGCUGAGGAGCGAAAGCAUGGGGAGCGAACAGGAUUAGAUACCCUGGUAGUCCAUGCCGUAAACGUUGGGCACUAGGUGUGGGGGACAUUCCACGUUUUCCGCGCCGUAGCUAACGCAUUAAGUGCCCCGCCUGGGGAGUACGGCCGCAAGGCUAAAACUCAAAGGAAUUGACGGGGGCCCGCACAAGCGGCGGAGCAUGCGGAUUAAUUCGAUGCAACGCGAAGAACCUUACCAAGGCUUGACAUGGACCGGACCGCCGCAGAAAUGUGGUUUCCCCUUUGGGGCUGGUUUACAGGUGGUGCAUGGUUGUCGUCAGCUCGUGUCGUGAGAUGUUGGGUUAAGUCCCGCAACGAGCGCAACCCUCGUUCUAUGUUGCCAGCACGUGAUGGUGGGGACUCAUAGGAGACUGCCGGGGUCAACUCGGAGGAAGGUGGGGACGACGUCAAAUCAUCAUGCCCCUUAUGUCUUGGGCUUCACGCAUGCUACAAUGGCCGGUACAAAGGGUUGCGAUACUGUGAGGUGGAGCUAAUCCCAAAAAGCCGGUCUCAGUUCGGAUUGGGGUCUGCAACUCGACCCCAUGAAGUCGGAGUCGCUAGUAAUCGCAGAUCAGCAACGCUGCGGUGAAUACGUUCCCGGGCCUUGUACACACCGCCCGUCAAGUCACGAAAGUUGGUAACACCCGAAGCCGGUGGCCUAA